CGGGCCCAGAGAAAUUUCUGCCAUACUCCAUGUUGAUGACGAAGAGCCCGUGCCUGGCCCUCCUUCCUGUGAUGGUCUCCAGCUGGGCCAGCAUCUGCACGGGGAGCUCCUCCAGCUGAACCCCGACUUACACGGGAGACAGAUUCCAGAAAACUCUGAGUAACCUGAAAGGGAAGGCCACCGGCCCCUGGAGAGUGCUGCGCAGAGAUGAACGUGUGUGACUCAGGUUUUAAGAGGACCGCCCGGCUGCUGUGUUGAAAGCAGACCACGGGCAGAGGUGCGAGGCUGUAGGUGGUUCAGGCUUCACUUAGGAGGGAACCACUGGGCCACUCCAUGCCAGGGAUAGGCAGAGAAGAGCUCCGACCCGUGAAUGGUGGAGCUGGGCUACUCACUCCUUCAGCAGGACGACA